rnacentral:rRNA from 1 species
AUUUUAUAGCAAUAUAAGAUAUUUUUAGUGGCGAACGGGUGAGUAAUACAUAGACAACUUACCUUUAACAUGAGGAUAGCCUAUCGAAAGGUAGAUUAAUACUCAAUAUAAUCUAUUUUUGAAAUAUUAUAGAUGAAAGCCGCAAGGCAGUUAAAGAAAGGUUUAUGGUCUAUCAGCUAGUUGGUGGGGUAAAGGCUUACCAAGGCUAUGACGGAUAGCUGGUCUGAGAGGACGAUCAGCCACAUUGGGACUGAGACACGGCCCAAACUCCUACGGGAGGCAGCAACUAGGAAUCUUGCACAAUGGGGGAAACCCUGAUGCAGCGACACCGUGUGAAGGACGAAGGUCUUCGGAUCGUAAACUUCUUUUAAUGAGGAAAAUAAUGAUUACUCUUUGAAUAAGUGGCUGCUAACUACGUGCCAGCAGCAGCGGUAAUACGUAGGCCACAAGCGUUAUCCGGAAUUAUUGGGCGUAAAGAGAUGCGUAGGUGUCUAGAUUUAGUCUUUGAUUAAAUGCAUGGGCAUAACUUAUGUAAGGUUGAAGAAACGGUUUAGAUAGAGGGAGACAGGGGAAGAUGGAACUUCUGGUGGAGUAGUGAAAUGCGUUGAUAUCAGAAGGAACACCAAAGGCGAAGGCAAUCUUCUAGGUCUUUCCUGACACUAAGGCUCGAAAGCGUGGGGAGCAAAACGGAUUAGAUACCCGUGUAGUCCACGCCGUAAACAAUGGAUGCUAGAUAUUUGUAUCCGUAUGGGUUUACUCGUAUUGAUAUGAGUGUCGCAGCUAACGCAGUAAGCAUCCCGCCUGGGGAGUACGGCCGCAAGGCUAAAACUCAAAGGAAUUGAUGGGGACCCGCACAAGCAGUGGAUCGCGUGGUUUAAUUCGAUGAUAAACGAAAAACCUUACCAAGGUUUGACAUGUUAGAGAAUUCUAACGAAAGUUGGAAGUGCCGCAAGGAGCUCUAUCACAGGUGCUGCAUGACUGUCGUCAGCUCGUGUCGUGAGAUGUUGGGUUAAGUUCCGCAACGAGCGCAACCUUUAUCUGAUGUUAUAUAUUUCUUCGGAAACUGCAUCGUUACAACGAUGAGGAAGGUGAAGAUGACGUCUAGUCCCCAUAGCCCUUAUGUCUUGGGCAACACACGCGAUACAAUGGGAAGAACAAUGAGUUGCAACACUGUAAAGUGAAGCUAAUCUCUUAAAUCUUUCCUCAGUUCAGAUUGAGGGCUGCAAUUCGCCCUCAUGAAGUCGGAAUUGCUAGUAAUCGCAGAUCAGCAUGCUGCGG